rnacentral:rRNA from 1 species
CCUACGGGUGGCUGCAGUGGGGAAUAUUGCACAAUGGGCGCAAGCCUGAUGCAGCCAUGCCGCGUGUGUGAAGAAGGCCUUCGGGUUGUAAAGCACUUUCAGCGGGGAGGAAGGCGUUAAGGUUAAUAACCUUGUCGAUUGACGUUACCCGCAGAAGAAGCACCGGCUAACUCCGUGCCAGCAGCCGCGGUAAUACGGAGGGUGCAAGCGUUAAUCGGAAUUACUGGGCGUAAAGCGCACGCAGGCGGUCUGUCAAGUCGGAUGUGAAAUCCCCGGGCUCAACCUGGGAACUGCAUUCGAAACUGGCAGGCUAGAGUCUUGUAGAGGGGGGUAGAAUUCCAGGUGUAGCGGUGAAAUGCGUAGAGAUCUGGAGGAAUACCGGUGGCGAAGGCGGCCCCCUGGACAAAGACUGACGCUCAGAUGCGAAAGCGUGGGGAGCAAACAGGAUUAGAUACCCUUGUAGUC